GCCGCGGUGCUGAAAUUGGUAUACAGGCCAGCUUGAGGUGCUGGUGCUCGUAAGAGCGUGUGGGUUCAAGUCCCACUCGCGGCACCA
rnacentral:tRNA from 1 species